rnacentral:lncRNA from 1 species
GAAGGAGCAGGCCUUAGAAGAGAGAACAGGGCCAGAUUAGCUGGGCUCAGGGGAGGUGGACCCAGGUGGGAAAAAGAAGCUGUCAAGCCCAGAGGCUGAGCUCUUUCCCACGGCGGGGGGCAGACCCUCUCACCUUGCAGGGCAGGAUGACAUGUCGAUGUGAAGAGGAUGGACACAUCAGUGGAUCCUGGCAGUUUGGCUUCAGUGGACAAAUGUGCCUCCUCUUUGAUUUGGAGAAUGGACACUGGACAGUGGUUCAUUCUGGAGGGAGACGGAUGAGAGAGAAGUGGGAGAAGGACAGGGCUGUGAGCAACUUCUUCAAGAAGGUCUCCAUGGGAGACUGUCAGGCCUGUCUUUGGGAUUUCUUGGUGCACUGGGAGGAAAUGUCGACAACCACAGCUCCCCUGAGUAAACGCCACGGCCACAGCCAUCAAGCACAUCACCUGGAUCCUCCAUGUGGUCCUCACCAGUUUCAUCAUAACUGUCUUCCUGGGCUGAGUCCUUUCCAGGAACAGAUCCAGGAGAUCAGACCCCAUGAAUCCUGAGUCUGUUUUCCGGUUAUGAUGACACAGUAGAUGUAUCAUCUCAUGGGCUUUAUCACAUUUGACGAAAUCCUACACAGCAUCUAUUAAAAAAAAAAAAAAAAAAAACAGGAACAAUUUAUUUCGCCACUUUCGCCUGGUGCUAACUGAUAGUAUUUCUACACUGAAAUAUUCAAGUACUUGAAGAAAUCUCCACAAACAGGACAUUUUUCAUCUUAUUCUAGUUUGUGGAUAAUUAGACUCAGCCUUGUGACCUCGUUCUUGCAAAUGAUAUUGCAAGAAGAAUACCAUCUGCUAUUACGGAACUCAGGGAUUCUUUCUGUGUCUGGAGAAAUUACCUCAGCCUAUUUUCAAUAAAGUGAAGUUUUGUUCAUGACUGUUUCCCUUAAUAAUUUAUUAUGUUUAAAGUGAAAGUGUUAGUCACUCAGUCGGGUCCAACUCUUUGUGACCCUGUGGACUGUAGCCUGC